rnacentral:rRNA from 1 species
UUAAAAUGUUAAUUUUAAAACUAAAGUAGUAUUAGUUAUGUUCUUUAAAUUUAAAGAUUUUGGCGGUAUUUUAGUCUAUUCAGAGGAACCUGUUCUAUAAUUGAUAGUCCACGAUUAACUUUACUUAAAUUUAAAAGUUUGUAUAUCGUUGUUUAUAGAAAAUUUUUUAAGAAAAAAAAUUUUUGAUAAAUUUAAUAAAAUUAUAAAUCAAAUCAAGGUGCAGUUUAUAUUUAAGAAGAAAUGGGUUACAAUAAAAUUAUUUAAAUGAAUUUAAAUUUUAAAAUGUUUAAUGAAGGAGGAUUUGAUAGUAAUUUUAUUAAUUUUAAUAAAAUGAUUUUAGCUCUAGAAUAUGU